GGGCCCGGCGCGAACGAACGCCCGCUGUGGAACCCGCUCCUCCGCGGUCCCGCAGAAAGCAGCCCGCUCGCGGAGGGGCUGGCGCCUAAACGCCACCAAAAUUCUUGACCGCAACUGAGGAACAAUGGAAGUGACCGACAAAUCAUGAUGUGGAUCAGCAAAACCUUACAGAAAGUCAGACACAGCCUCAAAUAAAACCACUUUGUUGGGUGAAGCCCACAGGCUGUGUCCUGUCACCCUGUGACAGCCGGAUUCCCCACGCGGGCACUGUCUGAACACUUUUUUCUCGUGAUGCGGAUCCAGAGCUGGGAAUGCUGCGCUCCUCACGACAACAGUAAAAUAGCAAGUCUGCUCCCAUGGCUCGUGUCUCAACAGCAGGAGUGAUGAAAGGCUGGGAGGCUGGCUGCAGUGCUUCGAGCCUCCCUCUCCCAUCGUUGCUGCCCGCUGCAGAGAUGUGCUGCUACAAAACUUCAGGGUAAAGGUUGAAGCACAAUUACUUGUAGCAGCAAACCCACAGAAGUCUGAUUUUGGAGAUCUUUUAAUGCACUGUAAGAGCAGAGCUACUGAAGAAUUUGAUAGGUCCAAGCGUUUAAUUCUCCCCAGUGCUCAUUUGAAUGCUGUAAAAAAAGCAAAGCAAAUUUUGAAUAUGCAAACGGGCAGAGAGCUGGUUUAUUUGUGACAUGGUCCUUUUGCAUUGUAAUGCCGUAACAAACCAGUCUCAAAGCUGGCAAGGCAAGCAGAUAAAGGAGAGCCAUUCCCAGAGAAAAUAAAGGCAGGACUAUUUAGCCCAUUGCAUGCUAGGCCAGUCCCCCAAUUUGUUGUUGUUGCUGUUACAUAUCAUUCCUAGUUGUCUGCAGCUGGUGUAAAUUAAAUUAUCUUCAGACUAUUUUUAUCAUACCACACGGUUCAGAUAAACCACAAAAGCGUGGGGAAAGAUGAAAAAUUAAGGGGGAGGAGGGGAACAAUUUUACAGAAUAUUACAAUAGAGGAAUAAUACAGAAAAAGUUCCCCUGUCAUCGUACUCAGAUGCUGCAAGUUUAUGUAAGAAUAUGGGUAAUAAACAGAAGGAACUGAACGUCAUUAUAUUCAUAAUCAAAAUUAUGAAUAAAUUGUCAUAACUGGUUAUUGUUAUGGAAAGGUAGAGUUUGUUCAGGAAGCAUAAGUAGAAGAAAAGGAACAUAAGGUACAGAGCUAGUGAAAAUAUUUGGAUAAUGGCAAAACAGAAAGGAAAAGAACACUGUCACAGCAAAGACCUAUUAGCAACCCACAAACAAAGAAGAUCAAGUGUAUGGUACUUUAACUUGAAUAAAAUCACCCAAAGCGUAGGAACUGGUGAUAAGGAGACUUGCAAUAGCAAGAUAGAUACUCAGAAAGGAAUUUGUGAGACUAUGGGUGACAGUGGUCAUCAAGUGAGUUAAUGACCCUUUAAAAGCAAAGGAAGGAAAAUCAACAGGGUGAAAAUAAGUUUCAGGAAGCUCACAGUUUGAAAGCCAAAUCCUAUUGUAGCAAAUCUAGGGAAAAAUACACCCUGGAAAGUAUGCCAUUUCCUACAGAAUCAACGUGAAGGCCACAAACAGACCAUUGCAAUGAGAAAGCAAGCUAGCAAGAGAAGAGUCUGGCUAAAUCGACACCAUUUCAAUGGCUUGCACCUUUUGAGAAAAGCAGAAUCUAGGCUGAAUUAUUACAACUGACAACAAAGUGACUGUUGUGAUAUAUUGGGAAAAUCCAGAAAGGUUAAUGGGCAAAAUGAGCUAAAACUAUCAAAAAGCCAGAGUGUAACAACAAAAAGCUUACAUAGAAGAUUACCAUGAAAGAACUGAUUUGCUCUCAGGUUGUGAGGAAACUAUUACCAAGUCAUACGAGGAAAACCAAAACCUCAUUCUUUUGCUUUGUUCUUCAAAAUGUCAGCUGUAAUCAGGUGGCUUACACUGUUAACAUUAGAAUGUAAAACCAAAUGAUCAAGCUAAACUAAGGAAAGAAACAGAAUCUAUUCAGGUAAGAUGCUUAUAAAAGUCAUGUACCAGAUCAGUUUCAGCCAAAAUAUUUAGUGAAACAGGUAAGCAAUCUCAAAGCUAUUAGAAAUUAUCUCCAAGAGCUCGGAAAGGAUAGCUGAGGUUCCAGAAAACAGGAAAUGGUGCCUACCUUAAAAAUGAAAGAAAAGGAUGGGAAUCAGAGGCCAGCCACCUUUACUUUGUAUCAGACAAAGUACUGUAACAAAUUAUUAAGCAAAUUAUUUGUAAGGCCUUGGAUGAUAAGAUUAAUAAUAAUCAACAAUAACAGCUCAAAACCAAAUAAUGAAAUCUUGACCAGCAAGGCUUCUGACGCUGUAUCAUCUAAUAUUCUCUUAAGGAUAGAGGAACAUUGGCUACACAAAACUUAUGUGGUUAGAAAAUGGCAGCCAGAAGUAGUGUCAAGUCAUUCACAAUCAAUGAAGUUUGUAGCAAGUGAGAUCUCCAGGUGCUUACAUCCUGAGUCCUGAACUGCUUCUGUGCUGCAAAAGGAUAGGGAAUAUUUUUAUCAUAUUUGUGGAGGAUAUCCUGUUCAGGUGAGAGCUGCAAGCAUUUUGGAAGAUACAAUUAGAAUGGAAUAAAUCACAACAAGUUGAAACAAAGACCUGAAGUAAAUGGGAUGUAAUUCAGUAAGGCAAGAAACUAUUAUGUAUAGCUGGGAAUAAUUAACUGCAAAAAUGUAGCUGGAGACAAACUGGCUAAGCAGUUACUUCACAGAAAGCAGUCCUGGUUCAUAGCAGUUCACAAAUAGAAAAUGAGUCAACAGCAAUUUGGUGUUGCAAAAAAUGUGACUGCUUAACUGAAAUGUAGAAAGACUAUCAAACACAAGAAGAAUGAAUGUCUUCCACUCCACUGAGCUCAGAAGGCUUUUGGUGAAGCACAGUUCUCAGUUUUGGGCACCUCCUUUCAAAUAGAGACAUCUCUGUGGAGAACGAAAAGAUCUACCAGAAGUCUGGGCAACUUGACCUUGAGUCAUACUCAAGUAUGACUGAGAGAAGUUCAGUUGGACACCUGAAAAGUCAAAGACAUGAUUGUACAACCUAGAAGAAUAUGAGAAUUUGUGUAAAGAAGACAGUCUGUAUGUACACAAGAGAAGUGAAUGCACAUACCAGCCCAUCUGUUUGAUAAUGGAAAUAUUUUUUUGCUGCAUAAUGAGCUCUCAAUCUAAAACACUUAAUGAGACUUUUAUUUUUGGCAUACUUAAAUCCUCAUAUCCUUAAUAACCUGUGAGAUAUAAUAAAAAUCCCAAAGAUGUAGAGCAUGCAUACAUUGGGGAAAAAAAAAUUACCUCUUUUAAAAUCCACCAAGAAAAAAAAUCAAUGCCAGGCCUCUCCUGCAUUAUCCACUAUGGGGAGCUGAAGCAUAAUAUUGCUGGACAGAUGGUGAUAAAGUUGCGCACUUAAUUGGAGCUAUAAAGUCCAUGUGUAUUUAUUUCAACAACCUGACCUCUACGGAACUCACAUAUAAAUAUUUGUCUUGAUAGAGGGAAUUCCAUUUAACCUUCUCUGAAGGAUAACGGAAAGCCCAGUCAUACCACACACUUUGAAUUGGGCAUCUCCUGCAACCAGUCCUUCUGCCACUGCCUGUGUCAGACACCAGGGAACCAGUGGGUCCGUCUGGGGAGCUCUGAGAACAGGCUCAAAGAACAAUUCCUAUUUAGGAGGUAAUUAAGCCUAUCCCCACACAUAAUUGGAAGAAAGUAUAUAGUUCAGAAUAAAAGCACCAAAUGUGGGGGCAGGAAUGCUGGGAAAACAUAACAACACUUCUAUUUUAGAAUACACUACUGUGCAAUUUGUAUGGAUGGAAUGGUCCCAGCAACUUUUUGUGUGUUUGUAUCAUUCUUGUUAAACUAGAAUUUCUGAAAUAAAAAUGAAACUUUAGUGAGUGUUUA